rnacentral:lncRNA from 1 species
GAUGCAUGGUUUAUUUAUACGACGACGACGACGAGGACGAGGACAUGGAUGAUGCUGAGGACGGAUGGGCGGCGGGCUUUCACUUGCCGCAGCUGCAGCUGGUGCCGCAGUAGCAGCUGGCGCCGCACUUGCAGGCGCCGUCGUGCUCCGCAACGGUCACCUCCUCCUCAACGAUCUGCAUGCAUGCAUCAGAUCAUAUGCAUCCGUAUUCAGAAUAAUUCAUCCUUUAGAUAU